rnacentral:lncRNA from 1 species
GUCUCUUAAUGCUACAUUUGCUUAGGGGCUGAGCACCUGAAUGCUGAGGUCCAGUUUCUAGCCAUCACCCCAACAUGCCAGCUGUGGAACAUAAACUGCACAGCCUCCUCAAAACAUGCUCAGUGUUAAUCUCGAGCUUGGAUCCAUGCUUCCCCUUAAUAUACAAGGUCAUACCAACAUCUUCCAGUUUAACACCCGGACCGAAGCUGAGAUGGGAAUGUGCAACUAGGAGAGAGAUGCACAAUAAUUUUAUGGUUACAGAAGAACUUACCAGAAAGGAAGCGUGCAUCACCUUCCCACCUCUCCCAUAAAUGAAGUGUGGUGGCAGAGUGUUUAAAGUAAGACCCAGAGGGCCUAAGUUGGAGGUUCCAGGCAGCUGAGGACUCCAGCUGAAGCUCUGGAGAUGACCUGGUGGCAUGUAGGUGUCUGGUUGUUUGGACUGGGAGUCAAAGGGAUGGGGAGGGGUGUGGGCUGAGCAUGUCAUAAAUCGUGCCAGCCUUAGGAGGACCCUUGAUCUUUAACACACAGAUCCUCUCUGGCUGCUACGGCAUUUACUUGCUGUAUGAACAUGAGAAGGAAUAUUGAGGACAGCAUUCACAGCCACUCUCAUGUGAGUUUGGAUUUGGGAGCAAGGGGGGACAUCCUCACUUGUAGGUUCCUUCAUAACCUCUAAAGUGCCCUGCCAGUUCCCUGAUGAAGACCUCUAUCAGACCAUAAGCCACAGUCUGGCAAUGUUUGUCCUAUGGCAUUGGUAGACCAUGUCAUGCAUGUUCCCUGCUGACCUCAGCAUCUGCUGCAUCACCGUGCCUUGUGAGACCUGCAGCUGUGCUGCCCUCCCAUUACUCCAGCUGGAAUCAAACCCUUCUGGGUAAAUUCUUACAUCUCAGCCAUACACAGCCUCACAAGAGCUCCAAAGGACUCAGGGAUGUUAGAGAGUUGUUGGCCAUGUCUGAUGCCCUCGCACAGGCUGGGUGGUGGGUGACUGUGAGGGACCGCAGGCAGAUCUGUUAGGGUUUCCACCUGCCUCUGAUAAGCUCCUUUCCCUUAGGGGAGAGACGUAACGUGACAGCUGGCUGAAGCCAGGACCUCAGAAAUGGAGCUGUCCAGAACAAACAUUCAAUUAAAAAGAAAAAAAAAAAAAAAAAAAAGACAGAGCAGAGCAACCUAAUAUUUUGCUUCCUUCUGUUCCUGACUAUAAAGUGAGGAUAAUAAAUGAUCUCUUAGCAGUAUGACA